CAGGUACUUCAUGGAUAGAACAGGUACUUCAUGCAUAGUACAGAUACUUCAUGGAUAGAACAGGUACUUCAUGCAUAGUACAGAUACUUCAUGCAUAGUACAGAUACUUCAUGGAUAGAACAGGUACUUCAUGCAUAGUACAGAUACUUCAUGGAUAGUACAGGUACUUCAUGCAUAGUACAGAUACUUCAUGGAUAGUACAGGUACUUCAUGGGUAGAACAGGUACUUCAUGGGUAGAACAGGUACUUCAUGGAUAGUACAGAUACUUCAUGGGUAGUACAGGUACUUCAUGGGUAGGUCAGGUACUUCAUGGAUAGACCAGGUACUUCAUGGAUAGAACAGGUACUUCAUGGAUAGAAUAGGUACUUCAUGGGUAGUACAGAUACUUCAUGGAUAGUACAGAUACUUCAUGGGUAGUACAGGUACUUCAUGGAUAGAACAGGUACUUCAUGGGUAGAACAGGUACUGUGUAAUAGACUAUUCACAGUCCCUUUGUACGGUCCUUUAUAAUGUUGCUUUCACUCAUUUUGCUUUACCAUAUGCUGUAAUCACCCAAUUCACUGUUACUAUUAUUACUUUGAACAAAGAGUUAUCAAUUAGAUCAAUUGAGAAUAAGAAAUGUAAAGGUUAUAUUUUACAUUAGCUUAUUCGUUUCCCAAUGCUCUUCCUUUCUUUAUGUGCAUCUAAGUUCCUGACCUGUAUAGUUUUUCUUCUUCCUGAGUAACUUCUUUUAACAUUUUUCUAAGACAAGUCUG
rnacentral:lncRNA from 1 species